GACGAACGCUGGCGGCGUGCUUAACACAUGCAAGUCGAACGGAAAGGCCCUGCUUUUGUGGGGUGCUCGAGUGGCGAACGGGUGAGUAACACGUGAGUAACCUGCCCUUGACUUUGGGAUAACUUCAGGAAACUGGGGCUAAUACCGGAUAGGAGCUCCUGCUGCAUGGUGGGGGCUGGAAAGUUUCGGCGGUUGGGGAUGGACUCGCGCCUUAUCAGCUUGUUGGUGGGGUAGUGGCUUACCAAGGCUUUGACGGGUAGCCGGCCUGAGAGGCUGACCGGCCACAUUGGGACUGAGAUACGGCCCAGACUCCUACGGGAGGCAGCGGUGGGGAAGAUUGCACAAUGGGCGGAAGCCUGAUGCAGCAACGCCGCGUGCGGGAUGACGGCCUUCGGGUUGUGAACCGCUUUCGCCUGUGACGAAGCGUGAGUGACGGUAAUGGGUAAAGAAGCACCGGCUAACUACGUG
rnacentral:rRNA from 1 species